GUCCACGCCCUAAACGAUGUCAACUAGUUGUUCGGUGAGGAGACUCAUUGAGUAACGCAGCUAACGCGUGAAGUUGACCGCCUGGGGAGUACUGCCGCAAGGUUAAAACUCAAAGGAAUUGACGGGGACCCGCACAAGCGGUGGAUGAUGUGGAUUAAUUCGAUGCAACGCGAAAAACCUUACCUACCCUUGACAUGUCAGGAAUCCUUGAGAGAUUGAGGAGUGCCCGAAAGGGAGCCUGAACACAGGUGCUGCAUGGCUGUCGU
rnacentral:rRNA from 1 species